rnacentral:tRNA from 1 species
CUCUAAAAAGUAUUUUUGUACGUUUGCCUUCCAAGCAAAAGGACUAGAAAACUCUAGGUUAGAGA